CACAGUGAUAUGGGUAUCCCCGUGUUUUGGGUAUCCCCGUACUUAAAUCACUAGUGUUUUGGGCAUCCCCCGUGAGGAUACCCAAAACACUAAGACCAUGGCAUAUGGCCGAAAUAAAUUAAGACCAUGUAGCUUAAAACGAAAAUUGGUAUUUCUAAAAAGGACAUGUAUGGAAGUAAUGACCAGACAUUAUAAAGUUCCGGGACAUCAAGGCAGUGUUUAUGAAACCAGCUCUGACAACUGACACAUUCAACCAUGUCAUCUUCCUCCCUGACAUAUGGAAGGCGACAUCUACAGUAAAUUGGUAUAAGAACCUUGUGUGAUGUUUGUUCAGGGCUUGACAUUCUUGGUACAGAUGGAAACAUAUGCAUUUUGCCUUUAGUAAAACAAUUCCACAAGUGACUUCGGAUAUUCCUCCUUUUGAAAGUUAUCUUGCUGGGAUCCUGUCCAUAACACAAUGAUGUAGCAAAAGCAAUGGCAAAUAUACCACAGUCAUAUCCAUUUGUCUGUUGGGUGACUGGCUCAAUUGAGAUUUCGAUUACAUUUUCUGACUGAAGCAUGUUACGAAGCAAGACAGUAUCUCCAUCCUUGAAUUGGCAUA